GAUGAACGCUGGCGGCGUGCCUAAUACAUGCAAGUAGAACGCUGAAGGAGGAGCUUGCUCUUCUGGAUGAGUUGCGAACGGGUGAGUAACGCGUAGGUAACCUGCCUGGUAGCGGGGGAUAACUAUUGGAAACGAUAGCUAAUACCGCAUGACAACAGUUAUUGCAUGAUAACUGUUUAAAAGGGGCAACUGCUCCACUACCAGAUGGACCUGCGUUGUAUUAGCUAGUUGGUGAGGUAACGGCUCACCAAGGCGACGAUACAUAGCCGACCUGAGAGGGUGAUCGGCCACACUGGGACUGAGACACGGCCCAGACUCCUACGGGAGGCAGCAGUAGGGAAUCUUCGGCAAUAGGCGGAAGUCUGACCGAGCAACGCCGCGUGAGUGAAGAAGGUUUUCGGAUCGUAAAGCUCUGUUGUAAGAGAAGAACGAGUGUGAGAGUGGAAAGUUCACACUGUGACGGUAUCUUACCAGAAAGGGACGGCUAACUACGUG
rnacentral:rRNA from 1 species